rnacentral:rRNA from 1 species
CCUAGGGAGGGCUGCAGUGGGGAAUAUUGGACAAUGGGCGAAAGCCUGAUCCAGCCAUGCCGCGUGUGUGAAGAAGGCCUUCGGGUUGUAAAGCACUUUCAGUGGGGAAGAAAGCCUUGGGGCUAAUACCCUCGAGGAAGGACAUCACCCACAGAAGAAGCACCGGCUAACUCCGUGCCAGCAGCCGCGGUAAUACGGAGGGUGCGAGCGUUAAUCGGAAUUACUGGGCGUAAAGCGCGCGUAGGCGGUCUGAUAAGCCGGUUGUGAAAGCCCCGGGCUCAACCUGGGAACGGCAUCCGGAACUGUCAGGCUAGAGUGCAGGAGAGGAAGGUAGAAUUCCCGGUGUAGCGGUGAAAUGCGUAGAGAUCGGGAGGAAUACCAGUGGCGAAGGCGGCCUUCUGGACUGACACUGACGCUGAGGUGCGAAAGCGUGGGUAGCAAACAGGAUUAGAUACCCGGGUAGUC